GUUGAACGCUGGCGGCAUGCCUUACACAUGCAAGUCGAACGGUAACAGGUCUUCGGAUGCUGACGAGUGGCGAACGGGUGAGUAAUACAUCGGAACGUGCCCGAUCGUGGGGGAUAACGGAGCGAAAGCUUUGCUAAUACCGCAUAAGAUCUACGGAUGAAAGCAGGGGACCGCAAGGCCUUGCGCGAACGGGGCGGCCGAUGGCAGAUUAGGUAGUUGGUGGGAUAAAAGCUUACCAAGCCGACGAUCUGUAGCUGGUCUGAGAGGACGACCAGCCACACUGGGACUGAGACACGGCCCAGACUCCUACGGGAGGCAGCAGUGGGGAAUUUUGGACAAUGGGCGCAAGCCUGAUCCAGCCAUGCCGCGUGCAGGAUGAAGGCCUUCGGGUUGUAAACUGCUUUUGUACGGAACGAAAAGACUCUGGUUAAUACCUGGGGUCCAUGACGGUACCGUAAGAAUAAGCACCGGCUAACUACGUGCCAGCCGCCGCCGUAA
rnacentral:rRNA from 1 species